rnacentral:rRNA from 1 species
GAACUUAAGAGUUUGAUCCUGGCUCAGGACGAACGCUGGCGGUAUGCCUAACACAUGCAAGUCGAACGAGGUUCUUCGGAACCUAGUGGCGAACGGGUGAGUAACACGUGAGCAACCUGCCUUACACUUUCGGAUACCUACGGGAAACUGUAGUUAAUACGGUAUAAGACCACGCUGUCGCAUGACAGAGGGGUAAAAGAUUUAUCGGUGUAAGAUGGGCUCGCGUCGCAUUAGCUAGUUGGUGGGGUAACGGCUCACCAAGGCGACGAUGCGUAGCCGACCUGAGAGGGUGAUCGGCCACACUGGGACUGAGAUACGGCCCAGAC